CUCCCCGAAAUGCGUUGAGGUGCAACAGUUGACUUGACAUCUAGGGGUAAAGCACUAUUUUGGUGUAGGCCACGAGAGCGGUACCAAAUCGAGGCAAACACUGAAUACUAGAUAUGACCUCCAAAUAAUAGGGGUCAAGGUUGGCUAGUGAGACAAUGGGGGAUAAGCUUCAUCGUCGAGAGGGAAACAGCCCAUCGGUCCACAGUAGAAGAUUCAAUAGCUACCAUAGCCCCUGCUUCUUCAGGAGGAACUCUAGGUUGAGGAG
rnacentral:ncRNA from 1 species